UACGAAGGGGGCUAGCGUUGCUCGGAAUCACUGGGCGUAAAGGGUGCGUAGGCGGGUUUUUAAGUCAGAGGUGAAAUCCUGGAGCUCAACUCCAGAACUGCCUUUGAUACUGAAAGUCUUGAGUAUGGGAGAGGUGAGUGGAACUGCGAGUGUAGAGGUGAAAUUCGUAGAUAUUCGCAAGAACACCAGUGGCGAAGGCGGCUCACUGGCCCGAUACUGACGCUGAGGUGCGAAAGCGUGGGGAGCAAACAGG
rnacentral:rRNA from 1 species